CCUCUCCCGAUCAAGAACCCUCCGUUAUGUGUGACUUUCUCGAUGAUUUUUGCGCAAAAAUCGUUAGAGUUGUGCUUUACCCACGAGUCUCGACCGUCGGAGAAGCUGUACCAAUGUUGCUCGAAGACGAGUUUGUCGGUGAAGCUGACGUUGAAGAAGCGGUCACGGAGGAAAGAGAGGUUUGUGUCGUAGUCGAUGCCGGAGAGGAUGACUAGUACUUCAGGGUUUGCUGCGUGUACUGCUUCUCCUCCUUUUGGCAUGUACCUUCACGUAAUAAUUUAAAGCUUAGCUUUUCUCAAAAAUAUAAAAAUAAUAAUAAUUUACAGCUUAAUACUCAUGCAUGCGCAUGCAUGUACUUGUUUUCUUAUAUAUGUGAAUAAUGAAAAUACUACAAAAGGUCCAAACACAUUUACCUAAAUCUGUGUGCGAACAUAUGUUAUUUUUGAUAAAUAGUUUUAAAUAGUCAUUUCAAAUAUUUUCAUGAGUGCGAACAUGCUUUUUAUAUUCUAAAUGACAUAUAGGUAAUCUGAAAUGCGUACUUACUUGAACCAGAGGUUAGGGUAAUCUCUGGUACCACGUGGUUCGUUUCUAAGGCUCAUGCCAACGACAUUAGUGACAUUGCGGAAAAGAGAAGCCAUCUUGCUCAAGCCCUUGGCCCAGACGGCGGGAUCAAAGUUAGGGUAUUCGAAGAAAGCGUCGAGGUCGUUGUCGCUGCAACACCAUCCUGGCGUUGUCAAGUGGUUGUCUAGUAUCACCAUCACACCGUUUUGUCCAAGGUUCGACACCACUUCCUGAUAAAAAAAUAUAAAUAAAUUAAACAUGUCUAUAUAUAGAGAGAGUUCCGUCGUAAUGGCUUCAUUUUCUUUGGUUAGUUUUUGUUAUUGUUCCGAACUAGUUCACGUUUAUGCAUUCCAGCUAGCUACUGAAACACAACCCAGCUCAAAACCGGUUUAUUUUGGAUCGGUUAAACCAAUGAAAUACCAUAGCUAAUUUUACCUGGAAUGCAUUGAAUAUGGGAAGGUUAAGGAUUUUGGGAUUGUGAGUUUGAAUGCCAAGAACAUCAUCUAACAAAUUCAACCUUUCAAAAGACUGUUUGACGGUAACAUUGCGAGCCAACGUGUCAUUAGUCAUCAAAUCAAGAGGCCAAGUAGCGGUCACGGAGGAAAGAGAGGUUUGUGUCGUAGUCGAUGCCGGAGAGGAUGACUAGUACUUCAGGGUUUGCUGCGUGUACUGCUUCUCCUCCUUUUGGCAUGUAC
rnacentral:lncRNA from 1 species